CAAUAGCGUAUAUUAAAGUUGUUGCGGUUAAAAAGCUCGUAGUUGGAUUUCUGCUGAGAACGACCGGUCCGCCCUUUGGGUGUGUAUCUGGCUCUUUCUUGGCAUCUUCUUGGUGAACAUUGCUGCACUUGACUGUGUGGAGCGCUACCCAGGACUUUUACUUUGAGGAAAUUAGAGUGUUUCAAGCAGGCAUACGCCUUGAAUACAUUAGCAUGGAAUAAUAAGAUAGGACCUCGGUUCUAUUUUGUUGGUUUCUAGAGCUGAGGUAAUGAUUAAUAGGGAUAGUUGGGGGCAUUCGUAUUUAACUGUCAGAGGUGAAAUUCUUGGAUUUGUUAAAGACGGACUACUGCGAAANCANNNGCCAAGGAUGUUUUCAUNGA
rnacentral:rRNA from 1 species